rnacentral:rRNA from 1 species
AGAGUUUGAUCAUGGCUCAGGAUGAACGCUAGCGAUAGGCUUAACACAUGCAAGUCGAGGGGCAGCAUAAUUUUAGCUUGCUAAGAUUGAUGGCGACCGGCGGAUGGGUGAGUAACGCGUAUGCAACCUACCGAUAAAUAAGGGAUAACCCGGCGAAAGUCGGACUAAUACCGUAUAGUCUUAUAAUUUCGCAUGAGAAUGUAAGUAAAGAUUUAUCGUUUAUCGAUGGGCAUGCGCUCCAUUAGUUAGUUGGUGAGGUAACGGCUCACCAAGACGACGAUGGAUAGGGGAACUGAGAGGUUGGCCCCCCACACUGGUACUGGGACACGGACCAGACUCCUACGGGAGGCAGCAGUGAGGAAUAUUGGUCAAUGGGCGAGAGCCUGAACCAGCCAAGUCGCGUGAAGGAAGACUGUCCUAUGGAUUGUAAACUUCUUUUGCAGGGGAAUAAAGUUAUCCACGAGUUGGAUAUUUGUAUGUACCCUGAGAAA